rnacentral:lncRNA from 1 species
GCGUCCGUGGGCUACACACACCCCCUCUUUUCUCACUGCCUCCUGGGCGGUGUGGAUCAGCUGCAGAGUGUGAUCUGCGGUCAGGGAGUGCCUUCCCGGAGUUUUCGCUUUCAGACCCCUGGUGUUAAAGACGUUCUGUGAGCGGGUGGGGCCGGGCGCCCCAGUCACGGCGGCCGCCGCCUCCUCUUCCCGCAGGACGGGACAGCGCCCCUGUGGAUCGCGUCCCAGAUGGGCCACAGCGAGGUGGUGCGGGUGAUGCUGCUGCGCGGAGCCGACCGCGACGCUGCGCGGAACGUGAGUGCCCGAGUCGCGCGGCCAAAGAGCGAAGCCUCCCGGCGCGCCUGUGUGGAGAAAACGGGUCUUGACUGAGUCUGCAGCCCACAUGGGUUUCCUCCCAACCUCCUUCCUUGAGCAGGAAAACAAAGUCAAGGAUGGCACAACAGCAUUAUUGAAAGCAGCCAACAAAGGGUAUAAUGAUGUCAUAAAAGAGUUGCUUAAAUUCUCACCCACUCUUGGUAUUUUGAAGGCCAAUGAACUUCCGGCAGAACUAACCAAAAAU